rnacentral:lncRNA from 1 species
AGAGCCUGUCCUGUUUGCUGGGAUGGAAAGGUGCCCGGGUAGAAGACUGAGAGGGCCAGGGUGCUGAAGGAUGACUCCAGCACCACCCUGGCUUUGGACUCCUGAGAUCAAAGGAGACUGCCCUCCAGGCACUGGGAGGAAGAGGCUUUGCUGAGCAUCUCCAAUCUGCUGCCGUGGAGAGGUGAGGUGACCGCUGAUAGGGAAGGGAGGGCUCCCCA